UCUGAUUUCUUUUCUUGUUUUUUGAGAUUUUUGGUGAGGGUAGAUGGAGUGGAGAAAGGAAGAGAGGUGGGAAAAGAGUGGUUGGGAAAGUGGGGAGGAGAAGGAGGAGAAGGGUGGAUUGAGUAUGCAAAGGUAGAGGCAUUGUAUGGAACUCCCAAAAGAGCUCUAA
rnacentral:ribozyme from 1 species